AUGUGUGUGUGUGCAGUAUUUGGCGUUGUGUUAGCGCGUCCACCUCCCGGUCGUUUCGGCCCGCACGGUUCCUCCGAGGGUGCUCUUCGCCGAGUGUCCGAGGCGGCCG
rnacentral:lncRNA from 1 species